rnacentral:lncRNA from 1 species
UGGAAAAGACUUAGCAACAGUAUUUACAUUGUUACACUGAGAAGGUAAAUUGAAAUUGGGAACAUAUGAACUAUUAUGAUAAGUGCUAUUAAGCUUAUUACAUGAAGAAUUGCCUAUGUGUAAGCUAGAACUUGACUCUAAAGAGGGACUAGCUUGAACAACUUUAUUGCAGAGAACUUGGACACUUGAGUUGGUAGUGGUGGGCUUGGACAAAGAUGCUUGAUCAAACUGGUACAAGCCAUCCUUUCCAAGAGAGCCUUGUAAGAGAAUUUUAGAAGAAACCUAAGAUUUUACAAAACACAUAUCAGGAUGAAACUCAAAGAAAACUUUGUUGUCUUUAGCAAACUGACUGACACUAACAAGGUUUUUAGUUAUUGAAGGCACAAGAAGAAGAUUUUUAAGCUUAAGAGUGGUGUGUGGUUCAAAGGGAGAGGUAAAGUGCAUAGAGCCAAUAGAAGUAAUAGGCAGACCUUGACCAUUUCCCACAUGAACUUGAUCAGUUCCAAAGAAAGAUGCUGAAUCCAUUAGGUUAGAGGCAUCAGGAGUGACAUGAUUGGUUGCUCCAGAGUCUGGAUACCACACACAUUAGGGAAAGUAGUGUUGGUAUCAAUACCAGUUAGGUAAGCUUGAGGAACCUGUGGCCUCUGAUUUCCAGAAGGAUAUUGAGCUCUGUAAGGAUUGUUGACCAUAGAAGCACGCUGCAUUCCUUGCAUCCACACAUUGGGAGGUGUUCCAAGAAUACCAUUAGAGGCACCAUAGAAACCAGGAGUACCAUAUCCUUCAUAAGUAGGUGGAACAGAGAGGCGAUGGUAACAAAUAGAAGCAUCAUGUCCAGUUUUGUGACAUAUCUGACACUGAAUGUAGGCACGAGGUCCACCACCACGGCCACCACGGCCUCUAAAACGACCACCACGAGGUCCUCUGCCUCUGAAAUAGCCACCUCUACCUCCAGAGUUACCAUACUGUUCAUUACCAUAAGGAGUAGUAUACUGAGUAUUACCAUAAGAGUUACCAUUAGAAUUCCCAUCAGAGAAGUGUUGCUGAGUAGGAGAAGGCUGAGUUUGGCU